UACGUAGGGUGCGAGCGUUAAUCGGAAUUACUGGGCGUAAAGCGUGCGCAGGCGGUCUGUUAAGACCGCUGUGAAAUCCCCGGGCUUAACCUGGGAACUGCAUUGGUGACUGGCAGGCUUUGAGUGUGGCAGAGGGAGGUAGAAUUCCACGUGUAGCAGUGAAAUGCGUAGAGAUGUGGAGGAACACCGAUGGCGAAGGCAGCAUCCUGGGCCAACACUGACGCUCAUGCACGAAAGCGUGGGGAGCAAACAGG
rnacentral:rRNA from 1 species